AUACGUAUGUCUCAAGCGUUACCCGGAAUCACUGGGUGUAAAGGGUUCGUAGGCGGUUUGAUAAGUUGGAUAUGAAAGACCGGAGCUCAACUCCGUGUUGGUGUUCAAAACUGUCAAACUAGAAUCAGGGAGAGGUAAGCGGAAUCCUAAGUGUAGGGGUGCAAUCCGUAGAUACUUAGAGGAACACCGAAAGCGAAGGCAGCUUACUGGAACUGUAUUGACGCUCAUGAACGAAAGCGUGGGGAGCGAAAAGGAUUAGAAACCCUAGUAGUCC
rnacentral:rRNA from 1 species